GUUAACGUAGUAAAACCUGGUAUUGCAAAAGACCUAAACUCUUUCCACAGGGGUUCAAAUCCUCUCGUUAACU
rnacentral:tRNA from 1 species